CGUGGGCUCUUCCGAUCUCUGGGAGUACAGAGGAGUCGAAUGUAUCAGGCAAGAGACUGAUGAACUCUGGAGGGCCGGAACACACUGGCGGCAUGUCGGCAACAAGUCCAGCUGUAAUCAGCUGACCUGU